AUUGAACGCUGGCGGCAUGCCUAACACAUGCAAGUCGAACGGCAGCAUGGAGAGCUUGCUCUCUGAUGGCGAGUGGCGAACGGGUGAGUAAUGCAUCGGAACGUACCGUGUAAUGGGGGAUAACGUAGCGAAAGUUACGCUAAUACCGCAUACGACCUGAGGGUGAAAGCAGGGGAUCGAAAGCCCUUGCGUUAUACGAGCGGCCGAUGUAAGAUUAGCUAGUUGGUGGGGUAAAGGCGCAGCAAGGCGACGAUCUGUAGCGGGUCGGAGAGGAUGAUCCGCCACACUUGGACUGAGACACGGCCCAGACUCCUACGGGAGGCAGCAGUGGGGAAUUUUGGACAAUGGGGGCAACCCUGAUCCAGCCAUGCCGCGUGAGUGAAGAAGGCCUUCGGGUUGUAAAGCUCUUUCGGCCGGGAAGAAAUCGCACAGGCUAAUACUCUGUGUGGAUGACGGUACCGGCAUAAGAAGCACCGGCUAACUACGUGCCAGCCGCCGCGGUAA
rnacentral:rRNA from 1 species